rnacentral:tRNA from 1 species
GCAUCUGUAGCUUUGUGGUAGAGCAUCUGCGCGUAAAGCAGAAGGUCUCGAGUUCAAAUCUUGACGGAGGCC